AUUCAAGAAAAAUCAAUUCAUCAAAAGAGAAAAGAAGAGACCGAAGCUAGAAAAAAAGGGGAAAAAAUUGCCAAGUUCUUCAACUUUGAUCCAAAAAUCUCGUCCUUCUCAAAUUCUUACUAAGUUCAAGCUCCUCUUCAACGGGGUAUAAUUGGGUAAGCGAGAGAACUACGAUUGUGGCAAGUCGAAAAUUGAAGAAAAGAUUUUGGAAAGACCAAGAGUUAGGUGGGGUGACUAAGGAAGCGGACAAGGCUGCGUUUCAUGCCGCGCAGGUACACCAAGACGAGUAGAAGCUAUUAUAGAAGAUGUUGCAGCAGCGUUAGCAACUCUACUUGUUCCUGAAGUGCUACCGAGUCAGAGUAUAGGCGCUAUGAUGUUUCGUUCAAAGUUAGAGACUUUGCAGACAGUGUCGUGGGUAUAGAGUGUCAGCUUUAUAAGCGGCGUCACCAGCCGAUAUGUUAUUAUGUCAUAUGCCACGAGUUUUAUGGGAUGAUAGAUUUUGAAAAAAAUAAUAAUUUGGGAAGCUUAGUUAUGUUUUUUUUUUCAUUUCUUAUUGAUGUAAAAGUCUAAGGAGAUUAAGUAUGUACUAUGAAGAAGCGGGUUCGCUCGGCUCCAAGCAUGGGGUCGGGUUCCCAUCACACCCUAUUAAUAUCGGGGUGUGACAUUUAUAUCUGUAACAUCCCCUAAAAACGUUGUAUACGAUGUUUCAAUUUUCGCCUAAACAUGAUACAACUUCUGUAUUUUGGGCAUAACUUUUUAUAGGAAUAUCCAAAUUAAGUGA